rfam:Aedes aegypti strain Liverpool supercont1.369 genomic scaffold, whole genome shotgun sequence.
UCGGCAGCUCUGUUGGUGAAGCACUCGUCUAGCAUACAAGAAUCGUGGGUUCGAAUCCCACCUGA